GAUGUACGCUGGCGGCGUGCCUUAUACAUGCAAGUCGAGUGGGUUUAGACCCACGGCAAACGGGUGAGUAACACGUAGGUACUUUCCUUGUCACAGGAAUAACCCUCCGAAAGGAGGGCUAAUACCUGAUGUGAUCGCAAGAUUAAAGGGUAUCCGCAAGGAUUACCGGACAAGAAGAGGCCUGCGGCCUAUCAGCUAGUUGGCGGGGUAAAUGCCCACCAAGGCUAUGACGGGUAGCUGGUCUUAUGAGGAUGAUCAGUCACAUGGGCACUGAGACACGGGCCCAACUCCUACGGGAGGCAGCAGUAGGGAAUUUUGCGCAAUGGGCGAAAGCCUGACGCAGCGACGCCGCGUGCGGGAUGAAGGCCUUCGGGUCGUAAACCGCUUUUAUAAGGGACGAACUUUGACGGUACCUUAUGAAUAAGAGGUUGCUAACUCUGUG
rnacentral:rRNA from 1 species